rnacentral:rRNA from 1 species
AGCAACGCUGGCGGCAGGCUUAACACAUGCAAGUCGAACGCCCCGCAAGGGGAGUGGUAGACGGGUGAGUAACACGUGGGAACGUACCCUUUGGUUCGGAAUAACUUGGGGAAACUCAAGCUAAUACCGGAUAAGCCCUUAUGGGGAAAGGUUUACUGCCGAAGGAUCGGCCCGCGUCUGAUUAGCUAGUUGGUGAGGUAACGGCUCACCAAGGCGACGAUCAGUAGCUGGUCUGAGAGGAUGAUCAGCCACACUGGGACUGAGACACGGCCCAGACUCCUACGGGAGGCAGCAGUGGGGAAUAUUGGACAAUGGGGGCAACCCUGAUCCAGCCAUGCCGCGUGAGUGAUGAAGGCCUUAGGGUUGUAAAGCUCUUUUACCCGGGACGAUAAUGACUGUACCGGGAGAAUAAGCCCCGGCUAACUUCGUGCCAGCCGCCGCCGUAA